GACGAACACGUCUCUCAACAUGUCAAGUGCUCGGUUGAAGACUGCAGCUUCACUGCUCAUGAGAAGCUGGUCAACAUUCACUGGAAGAAUAACCAUGCCCCAGGAGCAAAGAGAAUCAAGCUGGACACUGAAGAGGAGAUCUCUAAAUGGAGAGAGGAGCGGCGCAGG